GCGGACGGGUGCGUAACGCGUAUAUAACCUGCCCUCAGGCGCGGGACAACCACGGGAAACCGUGGCUAAUACCGCACGUCGUCUGGACCCCGCAUGGGGACCAGAUGAAAGCCUUCGGGCGCCUUUGGAUGGGUCUGCGUCGGAUUAGCUUGUUGGUGAGGUAACGGCUCACCAAGGUAACGAUCCGUAGCUGGUCUGAGAGGACGAUCAGUCACACUGGGACUGAGACACGGCCCAGACUCCUACGGGAGGCAGCAGUGGGGAAUCUUGCACAAUGGGGGAAACCCUGAUGCAGCCGUGCCGCGUGGAGGAAGACACCCCUAUGGGGCGUAAACUCCUUUUCUGAGAGAAGAAACCCCUGUAGCUUCAGGGUGUGACGGUAUCUCAGGAAUAAGCACCGGCUAACUCCGUGCCAGCAGCCGCGGUAAUACGGAGGGUGCAAGCGUUGUCCGGAAUCACUGGGCGUAAAGGGUGCGCAGGCGGGGCAGCAAGUCGGAUGUGAAAGCCCAUGGCUCAACCAUGGAAGUGCCUUCGAAAC
rnacentral:rRNA from 1 species